rnacentral:rRNA from 1 species
GGCGAACGCUGGCGGCGUGCCUAAUACAUGCAAGUCGAACGCAGUGGGGACGGGUGAGUAACACGUGGGUAACCUCCCAUCAGAGGGGAUAACACUUGGAAACAGGUGCUAAACCGAUAUUGACGGAUGGACCCGCGGUGCAUUAGCUAGUCGGGGGGGUAACGGCUCACCAAGGCUACGAUGCAUAGCCGACCUGGGAGGGUGAUCAGCCACACUGGGACUGAGACACGGCCCAGACUCCUACGGGAGGCAGCAGUAGGGAAUAUUGGGCAAUGGGCGAAAGUCUGAUCGAGCCACGCCGCGUGAGUGAAGAAGGUUUUCGGAUCGUAAACCUCUGUUGUUAGAGAAGCGGUAUCUAACCAAAAAGCCACGGCUAACUCCGUGCCAGCAGCCGCGGUAAUAC